UUUCUACUCCUUCCGUCCGAAAAUACUUGUCAUCAAAAUGGAUAAAAAGAUAUGUAUCUAAAACUAAAAUACGUCUAGAUACAUUACGUCUAGAUACAUUUCCUUUUAUCCAUUUUGAUGACAAGUAUUUCUGGAUGGAGGGAGUAUUUG
rfam:Triticum aestivum genome assembly, contig: Triticum_aestivum_CS42_TGACv1_scaffold_513157_6BS